GAGGAAUUCUGGGGUGGAGUUUUGUGUAUGGAUACAAUUUGCCUGACAAUGAGCCUGCAAAGAAGCAGUUUUUUGGCUACUUGCAAGGGGAAGCAGAAUCUACACUGGAGAAGCUUCAUCACUGUGUGGAAAUUGAGAUACUGUCGUUUCUCAAUGUUAAUAAUCCAUUAGAGAAUUUCGAUGAUUACAGAAAUAAGUUAAUUAAACUGACUUUUGUGACAGGAAAUUACUUUGAGAAGCUGGUUAAAGCAUUAGAAAAUGAUCUACCUGGAGUCCAUGAGUCUAGCAGCGGCGGCAGCAGCAGCAGCAGCAGCUCUAAGUAUCAAUCAGAAGAUGAAUAUUGGAUUUGUGCUAGAUGUUCCCAUGCCAAUCCCUACUCUGUCAACAAAUGCAAAGGGUGUCCGGCUGAUGCUAA
rnacentral:lncRNA from 1 species